rnacentral:tRNA from 1 species
AGGAUAAUAGUUUAAUAAAAACAUUUAAAUUGCAAUUAAAAAAUAUUUUUAAAAUUUAUCUUU